GACAGAGGUCCCGAGCGUUAGGCGGAAUCACUGGGCUUAAAGCGUGUGUAGGCGGAUGCCUAAGUACCUUGUGAAAUCCCACGGCUCAACCGUGGAACUGCUUGGUAUACUGGGUGUCUUGAGCCAUCUAGGGGCUACCGGAACAAAUGGUGGAGCGGUGAAAUGCGUAGAUAUCAUUUGGAACGCCAAUGGUGAAAACAGGUAGCUGGGGAUGUGCUGACGCUGAGACACGAAAGCCAGGGGAGCAAACGGG
rnacentral:rRNA from 1 species